UUCCAGCUCCAAUAGCGUAUAUUAAAGUUGUUGCGGUUAAAAAGCUCGUAGUUGAAUUUGUGUCCCGCACUGUCGGUUCACCGCCCGCGGUGCUAACUGGCAUGUUUGCGGGACGUCCUGCCGGUGGAUGUUCAGUAGUGAUUGAUCUCGAAACGGGUCUUUUACUAUUUCAUCCGACUUAUAAAUCCUGUCGCGGUGCUCUUAACUGAGUGUCGAGGCGGGCCGGCACGUUUACUUUGAACAAAUUAGAGUGCUCAAAGCAGGCUAAUUAAUGCCUGAAUAAUUAGUGCAUGGAAUAAUGGAACAGGACCUUGGUUCUAUUUUGUUGGUUUUCGGAACCCCAAGGUAAUGAUUAAUAGGGACAGAUGG
rnacentral:rRNA from 1 species